GAUGAACGCUGGCGGCGUGCUUAACACAUGCAAGUCGAACGAAGCAUCUCGCUUCGAAGCCUUCGGGCAGAGAUUGAGAUGACUGAGUGGCGGACGGGUGAGUAACGCGUGGGUAACCUGCCUCAUACAGGGGGAUAACAGUUGGAAACAGCUGCUAAUACCGCAUAAGCGCACAGGACCGCAUGGUCUGGUGUGAAAAACUCCGGUGGUAUGAGAUGGACCCGCGUCUGAUUAGCUAGUUGGUAAGGUAACGGCUUACCAAGGCGACGAUCAGUAGCCGGCCUGAGAGGGUGACCGGCCACAUUGGGACUGAGACACGGCCCAAACUCCUACGGGAGGCAGCAGUGGGGAAUAUUGCACAAUGGGCGAAAGCCUGAUGCAGCGACGCCGCGUGAGUGAAGAAGUAUUUCGGUAUGUAAAGCUCUAUCAGCAGGGAAGAAAAUGACGGUACCUGACUAAGAAGCCCCGGCUAACUACGUGCCAGCAGCCGCCGUAAAAC
rnacentral:rRNA from 1 species